UACGUACCGUCCAAACGUUAUUCGGAAUUAUUGGGCGUAAAGAGCGUGUAGGCGGCCAGACAGGUCCGCUGUGAAAACUCGAGGCUCAACCUCGAGAUGUCGGUGGAAACCGUCUGGCUAGAGUCCGGAAGAGGAGAGUGGAAUUCCCGGUGUAGCGGUGAAAUGCGCAGAUAUCGGGAAGAACACCCGUGGCUAAGGCGGCUCUCUAGUACGGUACUGACGCUGAGACGCGAAAGCGUGGGGAGCGAACAGG
rnacentral:rRNA from 1 species